AUGGUUCCGCUAUUGACGGAUUUGAAUGCAGUAUGUAAACUCUUUCUGCUUCUCAGCCGCCCCGGCUCACUGAUUGGACCGUCUGCUGGUCACUCACAGGAAACGUUGAGCGUCACGACGCUCUCUGCUGUUCUGAUGCUGGGCCCGCCUGAUGGGUCGUUCACGGGAUACUCUGCCAGACAAGUGAGGCGUACCCCGUCAUGUCGGUCCGACAGAGUGAUAUUCAGCUGCCGGGUCCUGACGUUAGGCUCUUGGUCUCCGUGCGGUUCCAGCCGGCCCUCAGGGCCUCCUGACUGGCUCCAGCUCAGGUAUGUCCAUGCAGUAGAAGAGGAGGGGCUGCCCGGUGUUACCGGACGGGCGGAACAGAGAGCUAGAGAAGUUCUGGUUUCUUCUUUUAGCAAUCCUGACUGAAAUCAUCUCCUCAUUUGGGCCCAGGGUUCAAAAUAUUGAAUUAUUUCUUUAGUAAAAAAAAACAAUUUUAUGGCUGUGAACACUUUUCGGACGUUUUUAUUGCGUUUUAUAUCAUCAUUAAUAAGUUAUUUUACGUGAAAAAAAUAAUUAUUGAAGAUUGCAGUAGUAAUACAUUUUUUCAUGAUACAUGUUUUUCCACUUAACAUCAGUUUGAAUAGUGACCAUUUAUCAACAUGAAUAUGUUGAUAAAUAAAAAACUGUUAUUUAUUUAAAUUUGAUUGUUAAACCUGCUCUGUAUUUUACAGUACAUUAAGUGUGGUACUCUUCUUAUUCACUGUAAUUUGACACUAUCCGUCUGAAGACUUUGCUGCCAGACAUCUUUCCGUUUUUUUUAUGUUUCUUUUUUACACUGCAGACCUGGGUUCUGCACGGCACCACGCUUGGCAAAGUUGAUCUCUACGCAGUGGAUCUACUCUUCCACCUUCUUGUCUGACGCCUUGCAUAUUGGAUUCUGUGGAAAAGCAUUAAUACAUGAAUACAUGAACUGAAAGAAGAGUGAACAAGUGGUUCCAAUAGAAUAAUGGCCAACCUACUAAGAAAACAUUUGAACAAUAUGUGUUUAUUGAGGUAGCUGAGAACGUUAUGUUUAUUUUGGGAGAGCUAAGAUAUCGUUGAAUUAUUGGAAUAACUAAAAUAUGUUCACAUGAAGGCUAAGUAUAGCAUAGUUGUCUUUCCCAUAGUUGGCUCUGUGAGAAUAUGUGUUGUGGUUGACUGCUUCUGUAUGAGAUGAGAUAUUCUAAAGAGCAGAAACGCGGCCCGUCUGAUUAUGCCAAUAUCCCAGGGCUACUUUCACAUGACUGCAGUCCAAUUCAUCUGAACGGAGAGCAAAUGUAUCUUAUAUACCAGGUGAUCCGGCUUUAUGCUGAUCACCUUAUUUUCAUCAAUCCUGGGCCAAACAAUUAAGAGCUUAUGCAUAAUCACAUGAUUGGGACCCCAAGAAUCUGGGGUUUGUUGAACUAAAAAAAUCGCUUUGCACGGCGGGGUGCACACACACUCCAGCAGUUAUUUCAAAUGUUGAAUCGGCAAACAACGGCUUGGAAGGCAUGAUGAAAGAGCAGCUAUCAGUCUGCUUACAUUUAUAAUCAAAAUGACCUUUAUUCAUAGUAUAGUUUAUUAGCAUUUUU
ensembl:lncRNA